rnacentral:rRNA from 1 species
GACGAACGCUGGCGGCGUGCUUAACACAUGCAAGUCGAACGGAAAGGCCCUGCUUUUGUGGGGUGCUCGAGUGGCGAACGGGUGAGUAACACGUGAGUAACCUGCCCUUGACUUUGGGAUAACUUCAGGAAACUGGGGCUAAUACCGGAUAGGAGUUCCUGCUGCAUGGUGGGGGUUGGAAAGUUUCGGCGGUUGGGGAUGGACUCGCGGCUUAUCAGCUUGUUGGUGGGGUAGUGGCUUACCAAGGCUUUGACGGGUAGCCGGCCUGAGAGGGUGACCGGCCACAUUGGGACUGAGAUACGGCCCAGACACCUACGGGAGGCAGCAGUGUGGAAUAUUGCACAAUGGGCGGAAACCUGAUGCAGCAACGCCGCGUGCGGGAUGACGGCCUUCGGGUUGUAAACCGCUUUCGCCUGUGACGAAGCGUGAGUGACGGUAAUGGGUAAAGAAGCACCGGCUAACUACGUG